UACGAAGGGUGCAAGCGUUGUUCGGAAUUACUGGGCGUAAAGGGUGUGUAGGCGGUUAUGUAAGAUAGCGGUGAAAUGCCGGAGCUUAACUCCGGAACUGCCGUUAUAACUAUAUAACUAGAAUGACAGAGAGGAUAUUGUAAUACCCAGUGUAGAGGCGAAAUUCGUAGAUAUUGGGUAGAACACCGGUGGCGAAGGCGAGUAUCUGGCUGUAAAUUGACGCUGAGGCACGAAAGCAUGGGGAUCAAAC
rnacentral:rRNA from 1 species